UCACAACAGUUGCCUACUGAUCUUGAUCU
rnacentral:piRNA from 1 species